GUGCUCAUUUUUAGCAGCACAUAUACUAAAAUUGGAAUGAUGUAGAGAAGCUUAGCACGGCCCCUUCCCAAGGAAAGUUAGCUAAUAUUUAUCUAGCUUU
rnacentral:snRNA from 1 species